ensembl:lncRNA
AAGCGGAGCUCCGCCCCCUGACGUCACGGGCGCCUGGCAGGGAGGGGUGGGGCUCUCGCGAGACCGUGCGGCCGUUAAGGCCGUUGGGGAGCUGGCUGUAAUGGCUGGCGAAGUGGAAUGAAGUUCUCUGCAGCGUGCCUUCCCAGUGUGUGAGUGCUGCCCCAGUGCCCAUGCUGUGGAUUGAUAGCAUCCUGUCGCCUCCUCUGCUACACCGCAGUGCUCCUCACGGCCUCCCUGGCCUGACUGGAAGCACUCCCUGACCGUUUACUCCCCCUGUCAUAUACGGCAGCUAACGACAGCCUUUUGUAUGUGGGGCGUUGUUGUUUUAGUGAGAAUUGAUUAUGACAUUACAAAAGAUGUUGCA